rnacentral:rRNA from 1 species
CCUACGGGAGGCAGCAGUGGGGAAUCUUGCGCAAUGGGCGAAAGCCUGACGCAGCCAUGCCGCGUGAAUGAUGAAGGUCUUAGGAUUGUAAAAUUCUUUCACCGGGGACGAUAAUGACGGUACCCGGAGAAGAAGCCCCGGCUAACUUCGUGCCAGCAGCCGCGGUAAUACGAAGGGGGCUAGCGUUGCUCGGAAUUACUGGGCGUAAAGGGAGCGUAGGCGGAUAGUUUAGUCAGAGGUGAAAGCCCAGGGCUCAACCUUGGAAUUGCCUUUGAUACUGGCUAUCUUGAGUACGGAAGAGGUAUGUGGAACUCCGAGUGUAGAGGUGAAAUUCGUAGAUAUUCGGAAGAACACCAGUGGCGAAGGCGACAUACUGGUCCGUUACUGACGCUGAGGCUCGAAAGCGUGGGGAGCAAACAGGAUUAGAUACCCUGGUAGUCCACGCUGUAAGCGAUGAGUGCUAGUUGUCGGCAUGCAUGCAUGUCGGUGACGCAGCUAACGCAUUAAGCACUCCGCCUGGGGAGUACGGUCGCAAGAUUAAAACUUAAAAGGAAUUAGAGG